ACAUUCACUUUAAAUAGGGCACCAUCUAAAUCCGUUGAGACGACACCGUAUGAAUUGUGGUUUGGGAAGAAACCUAAGCUGUCGUUUCUAAAAGUUUGGGGAUGCGAUGCUUAUGUCAAGAAACUUCAACCUGAAAAGCUCGAACCCAAGUCGGAAAAAUGCGUCUUCAUAGGAUACCCUAAAGAAACCAUUGGGUAUACCUUCUACUUAAGAUCCGAGGGCAAGAUCUUUGUUGCCAAGAACGGAUCCUUUCUGGAAAAAGAGUUUCUCUCGAAAGAAGUAAGUGGGAGGAAAGUAGAACUCGAUGAAGUACUACCUCUUGAACCGGAAAGUAGUGCAGCCCAGGAAAAUGUUCCUGUGAUGCCUACACCAACUGAAGAGGAAAACAAU
rnacentral:rRNA from 1 species